rnacentral:tRNA from 1 species
GCCCAGGUAGCUCAGUCGGUAGAGCAGAGGACUGAAAAUCCUCGUGUCACUGGUUCGAUUCCAGUCCUGGGCACCA